GCUGUAGCUCGGUGGUAGAGCUUCUGGUCUGAAUGCAGAAGGUUCCAGGGUUCAAUCUCUGGUAUCUCCA